CUACCUACCACCACCAGGUCGUACAGACUUUUGAACUCAGUCGCUUUGCCUCUCUGAGGUGGGAAUCCAGUCCCAGUCGGACAGCAUUGCAGACCUGGAGUCCACGUGUGUGUUGAAGAGUCAACCUGGAUUGAGUUGAAAUAUAGGAGGGACAGAGAGGAGCUCAAAGGAGCAAGUGAAUUUCAUCCACCCUGCUGGAAAUGUUCCCAGGAUACCUCAUCCUCUCAUUGGGUCCCCCGCUCACGCAGCUGGGAUUAUGGAGAGAGGCUAGAAUACUUAUAAGGCCGAGUUCAGCGCUGCACCGCAGACAGAGUCGGACCGUGUCUCUCCGCCGGUGCUGCUUGUCAAAGCAACAAAAUAAAAGCGGCGGUACGUCAGGCCUGUGCAGCUUUUAUUUGUCUCUGACUUAUUGUUGUGGAUCGACAGACAGGAGCAGAGCGACCUCCAUCAGCGCUAAUGAUGACAAAUGAGCAGGCUGAUGAAAUUUCAUGAUGACCGUAUUGAGAUGUGAAAACAAGAGAGGAGUUUAUGUGCAGAGAUUUUUAUGAGACUUCGGGGGAAAGAGUGAUUACAAAUGAAUAUACUCGACUUAUUGUCCGCAGCCUCCCUUGAAAACAAUAUCAUUGCGAAAGCUGUCAUGUGCCCGGUUUGUAAAUGAGGUGAAAACGACUGGAGCUCAAGCUCAUUGCUGGCAUCUGGUUUGUGGUGCUCUGCUUGUAUUCUCGGGUGACGGAGAGUGAGAGAAAGCUGCGGAGGCAAUAACAAAUCCGCACUCUCAUAAAAGGGCCUCCAAAGAUUCAUUCUAGACAUCUCUGUUUAGGUCAUUAUACACGCUCCAAACUUUUACUCAAGUCCUUGCACCGUGCCGCAGUGGUUGGUGGUCAGUGGGUCCACCCAGUCGCUGCAGAAGCGCCGACAUGCCAGCCUGCACCGCAGCGUCGUCCAUUCUCAAGUUUAAAAGUAGCCCUGGUUUCCCAGAUCCUCUUGGCACCUUAUUAUAGUGAGUCUCAGUUUAUUGCUGGUAAAUUCAUCCCAAGACCCUGUUUAACCAAGAAGGGAAACCAGAUUGUUUGGUGUAUAACAUGUUAUUAGAUUUUCUACUGUUUUGUACUUCAUGCUCUCUGCUUUGAAUUACAAUUCAACUCUGGCUCUCUUUCACUGUGUCCUUAUGUCCUGUUUCCCUCCACUCAUCCCUAAUCCAUCACAGCAGAUGUCUGCCCCUGGGCUG